UGGGGAAUUUUGGACAAUGGGCGCAAGCCUGAUCCAGCCAUGCCGCGUGUCUGAAGAAGGCCUUCGGGUUGUAAAGGACUUUUGUCAGGGAAGAAAAGGCUGUUGCUAAUACCGACAGCUGAUGACGGUACCUGAAGAAUAAGCACCGGCUAACUACGUGCCAGCAGCCGCGGUAAUACGUAGGGUGCGAGCGUUAAUCGGAAUUACUGGGCGUAAAGCGAGCGCAGACGGUUACUUAAGCAGGAUGUGAAAUCCCCGGGCUCAACCUGGGAACUGCGUUCUGAACUGGGUGACUAGAGUGUGUCAGAGGGAGGUAGAAUUCCACGUGUAGCAGUGAAAUGCGUAGAGAUGUGGAGGAAUACCGAUGGCGAAGGCAGCCUCCUGGGAUAACACUGACGUUCAUGCUCGAAAGCGUGGGUAGCAAACAGGAUUAGAUACCCUGGUAGUCCACGCCCUAAACGAUGUCAAUUAGCUGUUGGGCAACUUGAUUGCUUAGUAGCGUAGCUACGCGUGAAAUUGACCGCCCGGGGAGUACGGUCGCAAGAUUA
rnacentral:rRNA from 1 species